GUGAGGAAUAUUGCACAAUGGGCGCAAGCCUGAUGCAGCGACGCCGCGUGUGGGAUGAAGGGGCUACGCCUCGUAAACCACUGUAGCCCGGGACGAAAAACGCCUUAGAGGCGUUAGACGGUACCGGGAAAGUAAGGGUCGGCUAACUACGUGCCAGCAGCCGCGGUAAUACGUAGGACCCAAGCGUUGUCCGGAUUUACUGGGUGUAAAGGGCGCGCAGGCGGGAUAAAAAGUCAGUGGUGAAAUCCUACAGCUUAACUGUAGAACUGCCUUUGAUACUUUUAUUCUUGAGUUCGGGAGAGAGAGACGGAAUUCCAGGUGUAGUGGUGAAAUACGUAGAUAUCUGGAAGAGCACCAGUUACGAAGGCGGUCUCUUGGUCCGACACUGACGCUGAGGCGCGAAAGCGUGGGGAGCAAACA
rnacentral:rRNA from 1 species